AUACUUACCUGGCAGGGAAGAUACCAUGAUCAUGAAGGUGGUUUCCCCAGGAUGAGGCUUAUCCAUUACACUCCAGAUGUGCUGACUCCUGCAAUUUCCCCAAAUAUGGGAAACUCAACUGCAUAAUUUGUGGUAGUGGUGGACUGCAUUUGUGCUCUA